GAUGAACGCUGGCGGCGUGCCUAAUACAUGCAAGUCGAGCGAACGGACGAGAAGCUUUCUUUUCUGAUUUUAUCGCCGGACGGGUGAGUAACACGUGGUUAACCUACCUCUAAGACUGGGAUAACUUCGGGAAACCGGAUCUAAUACCGGAUAAUAUUUUGAACCGCAUUGUUCAAACGUUAAAGACGGUCUUGCUUUCACUUAUAGAUGGAUCCGCGCUGCAUUAGCUAGUUGGUAAGGUAACGGCUUACCAAGGCAACGAUGCAUAGCCGACCUGAGAGGGUGAUCGGACACACUGGAACUGAGACACGGUCCAGACUCCGACGGGAGGCAGCAGUAGGGAAUCUUCCGCAAUGGGCGAAAGCCUGACGGAGCAACGCCGCGUGAGUGAUGAAGGUCUUCGGAUCGGAAAACUAUGAUAGUAGGGAAGAACACAUGUGUAAGUAACUGUGAACAUCUUGACGGUACCUAAUCAGAAAGCCACGGCUAACUACGUG
rnacentral:rRNA from 1 species